UUUCUCAGGAUAGACCCAAAGAAAUGUUGUCCCAAAGCUUCAAACUUUAUACUUUUUCCAAACUGAAUUCUAUUGUUCUACAAGUUAUUCAAGGAGGAUCCAUACGAAAUUGUUAGGCAUUGUCUUUUCUAAGGUAAGCACUACCACACGAUAAGCAAUGAAGAUGUAUCUAGAUGCCCUCCAUGCCUUUUUUUGUCAUGUAUAAUUACUAUGCGGCACUUAAACGAUGUUUCGUGCAGCGUGGUCUCGGCGAAGAUAGACCAUGAGUACAUACUCGUGAUGCGUGG
rnacentral:lncRNA from 1 species